rnacentral:rRNA from 1 species
UACAGAGGGUGCAAGCGUUAAUCGGAUUUACUGGGCGUAAAGCGUGCGUAGGAGGUCGCGUAAGUCGGUUGUGAAAUCCCUGGGCUCAACCUGGGAAUUGCUUCCGAUACUGCGUGACUAGAGUUCGGUAGAGGGUGGCGGAACUCCCGGUGUAGCGGUGAAAUGCGUAGAUAUCGGGAAGAACACCGAUGGCGAAGGCAACCACCUGGGCCUGAACUGACUCUGAGGCACGAAAGCGUGGGGAGCAAACAGG